AGCUUUGCGCAGUGGCAGUAUCGUAGCCAAUGAGGUUUAUCCGAGGCGCGAUUAUUGCUAAUUGAAAAAAAAAAAAUAUAUAUAUAUAUAUACACACACACGUGUGUGUGUGUGUGUACAUGUGUAUAUAUAUAAUAUA